GUGAUAUCGAAGAGCCUCAUAGUGCACAAAUGUCUAGGAUAAUGGAGAAGAUUGGUGAGCUUCAGCGCAAUAUCACAAGAUCCUAUAGUGCACAAUUUGAUAGCUUAAUGGAGAAGAUUGGUGAGCUUCAGCAAGGGGACUAUAGAUGAGAUGUUUCAGAGAAACUUGAUGUUUAUGCCCGUGCAAA